UACGUAGGGUGCAAGCGUUAAUCGGAAUUACUGGGCGUAAAGCGUGCGCAGGCGGUUAUGCAAGACAGAUGUGAAAUCCCCGGGCUCAACCUGGGAACUGCAUUUGUGACUGCAUAGCUAGAGUACGGUAGAGGGGGAUGGAAUUCCGCGUGUAGCAGUGAAAUGCGUAGAUAUGCGGAGGAACACCGAUGGCGAAGGCAAUCCCCUGGACCUGUACUGACGCUCAUGCACGAAGGUCAGGGGAGCAAACGGG
rnacentral:rRNA from 1 species